UGCCAAGAAAUAAUUAUAAAAACAAUACGUAAUAUUGAUAUGGAUAAGAAUGUUAUAUACAGAUUCUUAUGAAUUAUGAAGGGAAAUUAAUGAGCCAAAAUAUUGAGUACAUCAGACAUCAGUUUACAAAAAUUAUUUUAUUCAAAGGAAUGAAAAGUGCGAUGAUAGUUCUAAUAAUGGCCGUGUUUGGUACUGGCGGCGCUGCAGAUGUUU